AGAUACGUGCAUGCGGAGUUCGCAGAUGGGCUGUGUGGUGCUUUCGAUGAUGCUGUCUGUGUUUGUCAUGUGCACGCCGACACUGCUAGUCCCGUCGUUGGCUAGGGCACUUCUCGACUCUGUGGACCUUCCCUGGGUCCAGCAGAGCAAACACUUGCUGCAGGUGGGUACCAGACACACCCUAUCCAGCGGCAGGGGAUCACAGGGAGAGGGAAGAGGGCCUGCCAAGUUCAGAUUUUAGUCUCACGAAGUUCACCAGCUACUGGAGCCUCUUGUCAAUUAUAACCUGUUGUUGCAUUGCAGCAUGUUGCAGACCACCAGGAAGUUCGCCAUGCGGGCGUCGGGAGUCAACACGUCUUUGAACUGUGAAGGGAUAGCUGGACUCCCUGAGUUGCCUCUGAACUCCUCGCCGCCGUGUUCUGAGAAGGUGUGCAUCUUCAAACUCUCAUUGUGAAGAUUAUUUAGAAUUUGCACUAGUUUAUGAGCUUAUGGAGGUGAAUGAAAGAUUCUGGACAACUUUCUUCAAGGAAACUUUGCGUUGUAGUUGGAGAAGUCGUGAUGCCGUGGUCAGAAUUUGAGGAGUUGGCGACCUCCCAAUCCCGCUGCUGCCCCAUAUCUCUCACUGGUUUUGGCUUGUUGAAUACAUGCUUGUCUAGGCCAUCAGGAACACACACUUGGUACUACUGGUUUAUGAUGUUCUCAUGAAUGCCAUAUGUUUGUUGAAAACGCUCCUGUGCGCAUAGAUACAUGUAUGUGCGGCAACGAGGAUGAAUGCGCUUAGCUAUGUGAUCUGGACAGUCCACUUUUGUGUAGCUCGACAUUUUAGUUGUAUGUAUAUAAGUAGCUCACCACAGUUCACCUUUUUCUUUUGAGAAAAUGACUGUUAACUUCUGUCUAUAAAGUUUACUCAA